UUGCUUCCAUGCAUCUCAUUGGUCCAUGUCAUCAUCAGUUACCACUAAUUCGGGAAAGAAAGCCAGCCCUCACGUAGACUUCCACGCGCCUAGGACCAACAUGGGCUGUAAGAAAUGCUUGGAAGUACAUGGGCUAGGCUACGUUGGCCCGCUUUGGAUCAACAUGGGCUGGGACUAAGUUGGCCGUAGGCCCGGCUACAAGACCUUUCCUCCACAUUUGUCCUAAAAAAAAAAAGAAACGGAUGCCUUUGUUCGUCUUCCUCCGCUAUCGCCCGAAUGUGCGGCCAUCGACCGAGUCCCUCCUCCUCCCCACGACCAUGCGCGAUAAAUUCGAGGAUUCAACCUAAUAAAUCCGAGCCUUUAAAGAGUGAGAACUGCUCAGUGGAGUUCAUCUGUCGCCGCCGUUUUCUCCAAUUUAAAAAGCACGUCAUGAUGCCAUUCGUCUCCACACCGCCACCGCGGACAGCGGCCUCCAUGCUGGAUGAUCUCCGGCUCCAAAUUUCUUGGGAUUUCUUCAGGAUUUGAUUUCUUGCCUCCUCACUCUGGUCACUAGAUGUUAAUUUCCGUUAAUUGACUCCCGGUUGAUUGUUUGUAUUGUGUCUGAGUUCCUCACAAAUUCACGCCUCCGCCUGAGGUACCUCUCUCUCUCUCUCUCUCUCUCUCUCUCAAUUAUUUUAUAGAUGCUUGAUGAAUUUUCCAUUAAAACUCUGAACAUAUAUGUACUGGUGAUUGGUGGAGGUAAGGCAGAUUCAGUAGCUCCCUCCAGUUUUAUAUUCAUAUAUGUACUGGAGAUUGGCGAAGGUAAGGCAGAUUCAGUAGCUCCCUCCAGAUUUAUAUUCAUAUAUGUACUGAAGAUUGGUGGAGGUAAGGCAGAUUCAGUAGCUCCCUCCAGUUUUAUAUUCUUUAGUUUUUAUCGUUCUUGAAGUGUAGGCUUAAUUGUAGUAUUCUCCUAUAUAAUUUACUGGAGCAGUAUUUCGUGAUUUUAAUAUUUCAACCGUAUUUCCAUGAAUCAGAAGAACAACAGUACUAUAUUAAACCUUCUAUUCAGGUAACAACCAUUAUCUUUCUUUUCUAUAUCUUUACAUUGUAUUUAACAUUUUUUUUAAAAAACAUACAGGAAAUAUUAUAUACAUAUGAAAUCCAGAUUGCGGAUUCAGAUAAUUUGUCAGCUAUCUGAUCCCUUCUACCAAAUAUUAUAUACAUAUGAAAUCCAAAUUGCGGAUUCAGAUAGUUUGUCAGCUAUCUGAUCCCUUCUACCAUGUAAAUAACAUGCAUGAUUUAUAGUAGUUCCUCCACAAAUGUUUCAGUUUUCUAUCUCCUAAUUGUAACUGAAAACUGAAAGCCAUAAAUCUCCCAUUAGCCUCUUUGGUUACCCUGGAAUCAAGACUGCCCUUCACCUCCACACCACCAUAAGGAUGUCCCGACAGCUCCCCUCCUUUGUCUCCCAUCUUCAUUGCACUUAAUUACUAUUUAUCCCCCUCUUCAUCCUUCUCUUCUCUCUCGCAACAUCAUCUAGGUCCACGAGGUGAGGUUGCAGGCGCUCUUCAAUGGAAAGAACACGGAAUAUUUACGAUGACUGGCUCUGCCCAAGGCCCAUCCCUACGGAGCUUUGUCCAGAUGGAGGUCAUCCAUGCAGGUUUGGGAUGCAAGGCAAUCCCGGCGACUUGAAUAUAACAAAGUUUGGUACUUCUGCUUCAUCUUUUUUCUUUUGUUGCCGUUUUGGUUCUUCCAGAUUUAUUUCUUCAUUUGUUUUUUUAGGAAACCAUUUGUUUUAUUUGUGCCCUCAUGCUCGGUGAACUAUUUGCACUUAUGGGACGAACUUAAGUUUUUUUAGCAGUCAAGGGAUGAAGGAUUGAAGAUUCUCUUGACAACAAACGAUGAAUGAAGAUAGUCAGCUAUACAAACGACCUGUUCUUGAUAUCCUAUUCCACAUCAAUGAAGCAUGGCCUUUCUUGAUAUCUUAUUUGGUUUUCUAUUACAGGGGACAGUAAUACUUUAACUGUUCACUAAAGUCAAAUUUGUCAGAUGCCGUAGUAGACGUGUGAUGAACUGAUUACUGGCCAUUAUACUGUAUAGGAUCUUCUUUACUCAUUUCCCUACAGAUGUACCUGUACUGUAUAUGGAAAACGGACAUUGUGUUAAUUAUUGAAUUUUAUUGUAAAUUUAGGCAUGUACGUUUCAACAACUUUUCUGGUCAAACUCUUGCAGAAUUUGGAAGAAUGGUGGCACAACAAUUUCUGUAAGAAAUUUAUUUCCUCGGACAUAAUGUUCAUAGUCUAACCUAUUGUUCCUUCCUAAAAUAGUAUAACAUGUAACUUUCUCACCAGUACUAUGUUUCAGCAUGCAUUUUCCAAGACCCCAUUGUCAAUUCUUGAGAAUAGGUAAUUACCCGAUAACAUGCCGGCGCUUGGAUGUUAAAAAAAGGGGACGUGUGGAAUAAUGACUUCACGGGCACCCCAACAGAAUGUCAGCAACCAAAUGUAUAUGUUGCACAUUCAGAGAUCUACGCACCAGUUAACUUUGGUUCGCAUGGUGCUGGCACACCUUGCAUGUUAUAAUUGAAAAAAUAUGGUGAAAAGCUAAUAUGUUUUAAAGGACAGUUUGUAAGAUUAUGUACUUAAAUGUCCAGAUGAUAAAAUAAAAUCUUAUGAAACUUCAUUGAAAGAAAAGGGUCUUACGUCUGUACUUAUUUGUUCCUUACAAGUUUCUACCAUGUUUAACAAAGAACCUGCCC